rnacentral:rRNA from 1 species
GACGAACGCUGGCGGCGUGCUUAACACAUGCAAGUCGAACGGAAAGGCCCUGCUUUUGUGGGGUGCUCGAGUGGCGAACGGGUGAGUAACACGUGAGUAACCUGCCCUUGACUUUGGGAUAACUUCAGGAAACUGGGGCUAAUACCGGAUAGGAGCUCCUGCUGCAUGGUGGGGGUUGGAAAGUUUCGGCGGUUGGGGAUGGACUCGCGGCUUAUCAGCUUGUUGGUGGGGUAGUGGCUUACCAAGGCUUUGUCGGGUAGCCGGCCUGGGAGGGUGACCGGCCACAUUGGGACUGAGAUACGGCCCAGACUCCUACGGGAGGCAGCAGCGGGGAAUAUUGAACAAUGGGCGGAAGCCUGAUGCAGCAGCGCCGCGUGCGGGAUGACGGCCUUCGGGUUGUAAACCGCUUUCGCCUGUGACGAAGCGUGAGUGACGGUAAUGGGUAAAGAAGCACCGGCUAACUACGUG